GACACCAUGACUUUCAUCACCAUCUUCAUCUGGACACUUUUGUUUUAUACAAAAGAGUCCAGAGGACAGGUGACUGUGACUCAGACUCCUGAAGUGAAAUCUGCUCUUCCAGGAGACACAGUCACUAUCAACUGUAAAACGAGCCUCAGAGUUUAUAAUGACGUCAGCCUGUACUGGUACCAACACAAACCUGGACAGGCUCCUAAACGUCUCAUUUACUGGGCCAAUAAGUUACAGUCAGGAAUUCCAGAUCGUUUCAGUGGCAGUGGAUCUGGGACUGACUUCACUUUGACCAUCAGAGGAGUCCAGACUGAAGAUGCAGGAGAUUAUUACUGUCAGAGUGCACAUAAGAUCAGUGGUAAAGGUCUGUUCACACAGUGA